ensembl:lncRNA
CAGCCAGCUGCCAGGUGAUCUCCUAUGACUUCAAACUGAACUUACCGUGCCUCAGAGACAUCUGGUGUAUUCCUAAAGACAUCUGAAGAACAUAAGGCUUGCAGCCAAACAACAUGAUGCCCGCAAUUGGUCUUCUUCGAGGAACCUACCCAAGCUACAAUGCAUUCCUUUUCUCAGACGCCAGGCUCCCAUAAAGGACAAUCAGACGCUUGAGAGCAAGCAGGCGCCCUGGCGUCCCAAACAGACACGGCAG